rnacentral:rRNA from 1 species
UACGUAGGGUGCAAGCGUUGUCCGGAAUUAUUGGGCGUAAAGAGCUCGUAGGCGGUCUGUUGCGUCGGCUGUGCAAAACCCGGGGCUCAACCCCGGGCCUGCAGCCGAUACGGGCAGACUAGAGUUCGGCAGGGGAGACUGGAAUUCCUGGUGUAGCGGUGAGAUGCGCAGAUAUCAGGAGGAACACCGGUGGCGAAGGCGGGUCUCUGGGCCGAUACUGACGCUGAGGAGCGAAAGCGUGGGGAGCGAACAGG